GCGUCAAUAGUGCAACGGGUUAGAGCACGCGCUCCCGGAUCGAGUGAGAUAUGGGUUCGAGUCCCGCCUGACGCG